AAGUCGUAACAAGGUUUCCGUAGGUGAACCUGCGGAAGGAUCAUUAUCAACGUUAUCCACGUACUAACCAUUACCAAAAUGUGAACUGUCUCAAUCCUCUGAGUGAAGCGGUUGGAAGUGCGAUUCGAAGCUCUCUCUCUUUUCGGAGGGAGCGGAGAGGCGCUGUCUUUCUCAGAGUGUAUUUUCUAACUACACUUCCUAACACAUUUUACUAUUAACCUUUUGAACCGAAAACUAAAAAUUUUACUUCUUUAACUGUGAACUGAAUUAUCAUUCUUUUACCUUUUCCUUUCUUUUUUGGAGGGGAAAUGUGAACGAUGAUCAAUUUACGAAACUAAUAAGAACAACUCUUAGCAACGGAUAUCUUGGUUCUC
rnacentral:misc_RNA from 1 species